UAGGGAAUCUUCGGCAAUGGGGGGAACCCUGACCGAGCAACGCCGCGUGAGUGAAGACGGUUUUCGGAUCGUAAAGCUCUGUUGUUAAGGAAGAACGAGUGUGAGAAUGGAAAGUUCAUACUGUGACGGUACUUAACCAGAAAGGGACGGCUAACUACGUGCCAGCAGCCGCGGUAAUACGUAGGUCCCGAGCGUUGUCCGGAUUUAUUGGGCGUAAAGCGAGCGCAGGCGGUUAGAUAAGUCUGAAGUUAAAGGCAGUGGCUCAACCAUUGUAGGCUUUGGAAACUGUUUAACUUGAGUGCAGAAGGGGAGAGUGGAAUUCCAUGUGUAGCGGUGAAAUGCGUAGAUAUAUGGAGGAACACCGGUGGCGAAAGCGGCUCUCUGGUCUGUAACUGACGCUGAGGCUCGAAAGCGUGGGGAGCGAACAGG
rnacentral:rRNA from 1 species